rnacentral:rRNA from 1 species
UACGUAGGGGGCUAGCGUUGUCCGGAAUCAUUGGGCGUAAAGAGCGUGUAGGCGGCCCGGUAAGUCCGCUGUGAAAGUCGGGGGCUCAACCCUCGAAUGCCGGUGGAUACUAUCGGGCUAGAGUGCGGAAGAGGCGAGUGGAAUUCCUGGUGUAGCGGUGAAAUGCGCAGAUAUCAGGAGGAACACCAAUUGCGAAGGCAGCUCGCUGGGACGUAACUGACGCUGAGACGCGAAAGCGUGGGGAGCAAACAGG